rnacentral:rRNA from 1 species
AGUGAACGCUGGCGGUAGGCCUAACACAUGCAAGUCGAACGGCAGCACAGUAAGAGCUUGCUCUUACGGGUGGCGAGUGGCGGACGGGUGAGGGAUACAUCGGAAUCUACUUUUUCGUGGGGGAUAACGUAGGGAAACUUACGCUAAUACCGCAUACGACCUACGGGUGAAAGCAGGGGAUCUUCGGACCUUGCGCGAUUGAAUUAGCCGAUGUCGGAUUAGCUAGUUGGCGGGGUAAAGGCCCACCAAGGCGACGAUCCGUAGCUGGUCUGAGAGGAUGAUCAGCCACACUGGAACUGAGACACGGUCCAGACUCCUACGGGAGGCAGCAGUGGGGAAUAUUGGACAAUGGGCGCAAGCAUGAUCCAGCCAUACCGCGUGGGUGAAGAAGGCCUUCGGGUUGUAAAGCCCUUUUGUUGGGAAAGAAAAGCAGCAGGUUAAUACCACGCUGUUCUGACGGUACCCAAAGAAUAAGCACCGGCUAACUUCGUG